rnacentral:rRNA from 1 species
GACGAACGCUGGCGGCGUGCCUAAUACAUGCAAGUCGAACGAACUCUGGUAUUGAUUGGUGCUUGCAUCAUGAUUUACAUUUGAGUGAGUGGCGAACUGGUGAGUAACACGUGGGAAACCUGCCCAGAAGCGGGGGAUAACACCUGGAAACAGAUGCUAAUACCGCAUAACAACUUGGACCGCAUGGUCCGAGCUUGAAAGAUGGCUUCGGCUAUCACUUUUGGAUGGUCCCGCGGCGUAUUAGCUAGAUGGUGGGGUAACGGCUCACCAUGGCAAUGAUACGUAGCCGACCUGAGAGGGUAAUCGGCCACAUUGGGACUGAGACACGGCCCAAACUCCUACGGGAGGCAGCAGUAGGGAAUCUUCCACAAUGGACGAAAGUCUGAUGGAGCAACGCCGCGUGAGUGAAGAAGGGUUUCGGCUCGUAAAACUCUGUUGUUAAAGAAGAACAUAUCUGAGAGUAACUGUUCAGGUAUUGACGGUAUUUAACCAGAAAGCCACGGCUAACUACGUGCCAGCAGCCGCGGUAAUACGUAGGUGGCAAGCGUUGUCCGGAUUUAUUGGGCGUAAAGCGAGCGCAGGCGGUUUUUUAAGUCUGAUGUGAAAGCCUUCGGCUCAACCGAAGAAGUGCAUCGGAAACUGGAAAACUUGAGUGCAGAAGAGGACAGUGGAACUCCAUGUGUAGCGGUGAAAUGCGUAGAUAUAUGGAAGAACACCAGUGGCGAAGGCGGCUGUCUGGUCUGUAACUGACACUGAGGCUCGAAAGUAUGGGUAGCAAACAGGAUUAGAUACCCUGGUAGUCCAUACCGUAAACGAUGAAUGCUAAGUGUUGGAGGGUUUCCGCCCUUCAGUGCUGCAGCUAACGCAUUAAGCAUCCCGCCUGGGGAGUACGGCCGCAAGGCUGAAACUCAAAGGAAUUGACGGGGGCCCGCACAAGCGGUGGAGCAUGUGGUUUAAUUCGAAGCUACGCGAAGAACCUUACCAGGUCUUGACAUACUAUGCAAAUCUAAGAGAUUAGACGUUCCCUUCGGGGACAUGGAUACAGGUGGUGCAUGGUUGUCGUCAGCUCGUGUCGUGAGAUGUUGGGUUAAGUCCCGCAACGAGCGCAACCCUUAUUAUCAGUUGCCAGCAUUAAGUUGGGCACUCUGGUGAGACUGCCGGUGACAAACCGGAGGAAGGUGGGGAUGACGUCAAAUCAUCAUGCCCCUUAUGACCUGGGCUACACACGUGCUACAAUGGAUGGUACAACGAGUUGCGAACUCGCGAGAGUAAGCUAAUCUCUUAAAGCCAUUCUCAGUUCGGAUUGUAGGCUGCAACUCGCCUACAUGAAGUCGGAAUCGCUAGUAAUCGCGGAUCAGCAUGCCGCGGUGAAUACGUUCCCGGGCCUUGUACACACCGCCCGUCACACCAUGAGAGUUUGUAACACCCAAAGUCGGUGGGGUAACCUUUUAGGAACCAGCCGCCUAAGGUGGGACAGAUGAUUAGGGUGAAG